rnacentral:sRNA from 1 species
GCCAGGUGUGGUGGUGCAUGCCUGUAAUCCUGGUGGCUCAGGAGGCUGAGACAGGAGGAUCUCUAGUUCAAAGCCAGCCUCAGCAAAAGUGAGGGUGCUAAGCAAUUCAGUGAGACCCUGUCUCUA